GUGUCAGCAGCCGCGGUAAUACGGAGGAUGCAAGCGUUAUCCGGAUUCAUUGGGUUUAAAGGGUGCGCAGGCGGAGUGAUAAGUCAGUGGUGAAAGCCUACAGCUUAACUGUAGAACUGCCAUUGAUACUGUCAUUCUUGAGUAUUGUUGAGGUAGGCGGAAUGUGUCAUGUAGCGGUGAAAUGCUUAGAUAUGACACAGAACACCGAUCGCGAAGGCAGCUUACCAAGCAAUAACUGACGCUCAUGCACGAAAGCGUGGGGAUCAAACAGGAUUAGAAACCCUUGUAGUCC
rnacentral:rRNA from 1 species